CCAGGAAUCUUGGGCAAUGGGCGAAAGCCUGACCCAGCAACACCGUGUGGGCGAUGAAGGCUCUAGGGUCGUAAAGCCCUGUUGAUAGGGACGAAGGGCGAAGGGUUAAUAGCCCCUAGCUUGACGGUACCUUUCGAGGAAGCCCCGGCUAACUACGUGCCAGCAGCCGCGGUAAUACGUAGGGGGCGAGCGUUGUCCGGAAUUAUUGGGCGUAAAGAGCGUGUAGGCGGUUCGGUAAGUCUGCUGUGAAAUCUUGGGGCUCAACCCUGAGCGUGCAGCGGAUACUGCCGGGCUAGAGGGUGGUAGAGGCGAGUGGAAUUCCGAGUGUAGCGGUGAAAUGCGCAGAUAUUCGGAGGAACACCAGUAGCGAAGGCGGCUCGCUGGGCCACACCUGACGCUGAGACGCGAAAGCGUGGGGAGCGAACAGG
rnacentral:rRNA from 1 species